ACCGAAGAUACAUGCUUUAUGGAGAGGAACAUACGGAAGGUGUCCGACGCCAUUGAAUUGUAUAAGAAGGGACUAUCAGAGGCCAUCGGCAGACGAGAGGCUGAAUCGGGCUAUGAUAAGUGACAAUAUUUUAGACCCACAAGACGUGAACAAUUUCAAGAGGAAGAUGAAGAAAAGUGCAGAAGCUGCGAUAGAGGCAAUAAAAGCAGGCUCCAACUAUUGGAACGAUCAAAAAGCAGUAAGGGAUUUUCUCCUCGUCGAUUUGUUUACGGUGAAUGCACAGAGAACCUGUGUAGGUGCAACGGCCACACUAGAAGAGUAUGACGAGAGGAGGGUUGUCGAUGGAAAAAUCUUGAUAAAGGUCAAAGAACAUAAAACUGCGUGGAAAUGGGGCCCAGCGGAUGUUUUUUUCAGUAGGGAGGCUUAUCCCAUAUUGCAAUUUCAUGUCGAAAAAAUAAGAAGGGCAAGAGAGUCAUCAAAAGAUGCCAACCUCUUCGUGAGUGUUAAUGGAGGGGUAAUCAACGAUGUUGGGAACAUCAUAGACACUUGCUGGGGAACAUUAGGGUACAACGGGAGAUUCUUCCCACGCACUCUUAGAGAGACCGUCGCAACCAAGCCAGCAGAUUCAAAGCUGCAACGGACAUGAUCGUUCCAUUGCCCGGCCCAACUCGGUAACUAGCUCACACUGAACAAAGCGAAGACUGUCAAUCAUGUCGAUCAACUGAUGCACUUACAUAGCUCUUCGGUAACCAGAUGAGUUAGGAAUAUCAUGAUUUCCCAACUAAAGAAUUUCUAUCCAUCUUCGCCCCAUAAAGCCUGAACAAGAAGGAUUACAGUGAGCAAGAUGCGAGCUCAGGUAGUCCAGUCCCCGGAGCAGAUGAAAGCAGAGAAAUCGCGUAUGCAUUCCACCUUAGCCUUGCGUAAGGAGACUAAGAAGGAGAAGGGACACAGAGUGCAGGAGCUACGGGAUCAGAAUGAGAACUGCGAGCUGCUACUCCAUUCUAGUGAUCAAGGGGAUGCUAUGAUUACAGCUAUCAACACAGAGCUGGAAAAACAGAGAAUCUCUAUCCAUCUUCGCCCCUAUAAAAGCCUGAAUAAGAAGGAUACAGUGAGCAAGAUGCAAGCUCAGGUAGUCCAGUCCCCAGAGCGGAUGAAAGCUGACAUAUCGCGUAUGCAUUCCACCUUAGCCUCUCGUAAGGAGACUAGGAAGGAGAAGGGACACAGAGUGCAUGAGCUACGGGGUCAGAAUGAGAAUUGCCAGUUGCUUCUUCAGUCUAGUGAUCAAGGGGAUGCCAUGAUUACAGGUAUCAAUGCAGAGCUUGAAAAACAGAGGACAAGCGUAAGCUGUCAAGCCUGAACAAGGAAGAUACAGUGAGCGAGAUGCAAGCUCAGGUAGUCCAGUCCCAUGAGUGGAUGAAAGCUGACAUAUCACGUAUGCAUUCCACCUUAGCCUUGCAUAAGGAUACUAAGAAGGAGAAGGGACACAGAGUGCAGGAGCUACGGGGUCAGAAUGAGAACUGCCAGUUGCUGCUCCAGUCUAGUGAUCAAAGGGAUGCCAUGAUUACAGCUAUCAACAGAGAGUUGGAAAA